rnacentral:rRNA from 1 species
GAUGAACGCUGGCGGCGUGCCUAAUACAUGCAAGUCGAGCGAACAGACGAGGAGCUUGCUCCUCUGACGUUAGCGGCGGACGGGUGAGUAACACGUGGAUAACCUACCUAUAAGACUGGGAUAACUUCGGGAAACCGGAGCUAAUACCGGAUAAUAUAUUGAACCGCAUGGUUCAAUAGUGAAAGACGGUUUUGCUGUCACUUAUAGAUGGAUCCGCGCCGCAUUAGCUAGUUGGUAAGGUAACGGCUUACCAAGGCAACGAUGCGUAGCCGACCUGAGAGGGUGAUCGGCCACACUGGAACUGGGACACGGCCCAGACUCCUACGGGAGGCAGCAGUAGGGAAUCUUCCGCAAUGGGCGAAAGCCUGACGGAGCAACGCCGCGUGAGUGAUGAAGGUCUUCGGAUCGUAAAACUCUGUUAUUAGGGAAGAACAAAUGUGUAAGUAACUAUGCACGUCUUGACGGUACCUAAUCAGAAAGCCACGGCUAACUACGUG